rnacentral:tRNA from 1 species
CCCACGUCGUAGGUGAGGAACUUGCGGACGCUGUCCUCGAUGGCCCGGCCGUCGAACCGCGGGUCGGCGGCGUCGGUGCGGCCGGCGACCUGGGUC